GGCAGUGACUUCUAAUAUAAAGCUUUAAUAUAUGACUACAAACUCAGGACUCCUAAUAAAAUAGAUUUGGCUCUUAUACUAAAAUACAAAAAACAUAUUAAAAGUCUCAUAUCCUGCUGUCUUAUUGUGGAACUGAAAUGUCAGUUACAUUGGCGGAUGUGGCUGACUCACUUCAGAAACUUAAUCUCUGAAAAAUUAUCCAAUCUCAGAGUUAACUGAUCCAGGUGACCGAACUGGUUGACACAGGACUUUUUGCUCUAAGCUUUCUGGAGCUAUGUGCCUUUUGCGCUGACAGUGAGAAGGCUGUUUUUGAAAAAAACUUCAUGUCAGAGAGAAGUCCUGUUCAUAAAAUGAGUUUGAAUGUGUCCUUAGCUCCGCGUUUAGCAUGGCGGCAUUCGUAAAAAGACCUAAUUAGGACUGAAGUGACACAUACGGCCCACAUUAGGAAGACGUGGAUAGACACACAAAAAAGGGACAGUACAUACAAGCCAUAGCCCACACACACACACACAUCAUUUCCACCCCAGGUCUUGGCAGAGCCAUAAUUAUAGUAGAAAAGGCCACAUAAAUAUGAAUCAUACUUAAGCAUACGAACAUAUAAAAGUACAGCCUAAUUGUCUAUAAUACUCUCCUGUGAAAGAUAAUCGUGCUUGUCUGGGCAGUGUAAUUGCAUAUAAUCCAAUAGGAGGUUUCACUAAACUGCCCAUUUGCUCACAAGUCAGCUGACACGAGAGUCUUUUUCUCUUCCUCACUUGCAGCUUAUAAAAUUACAGCCUCAAAUCUAAUUAGUGUCUUUUUAUAAAAGCUCUAAAAAUCACGUAGGCUCACCAGAGCUCGGGGGAGCCAGAGCAGGAGCUCCUGAUAAAGCCCACAGCACAGAGUGGGGGGGGUGGUGGGUAUGGAUAUAUUAUCCAUAAUGCGUUGCAAGCAAUAAAAUGCCCAUUUCUCACUGAGCAAGUGAACAAUUAAUAUAAUGUGGAAGGACUUUGCAGUACUGAAGGUUAUACUGACAUAGAUAAAGGGGGAUAAAAUUAACAUCAAGACAACGAGUUUAGCAAAAUAAAAACCAGAACCAAACUAGACUACAUUACCCAGAAAUCAAUAACGCAUAGUUUUGCCAUGAGCAACCAUGCAUUCUAAACUCCCGAACUGCACUACCCAGAAUUCCACAGGAACAGCCCUUUUCCAGUCACUUCAAAAUAAAACCAUUCAUGACAUCCUGAACUGCACCACCCAGAAUUCACAAUUCAAUGCAGCAGAAGGAGCAGCAGAAUCUUUAUUGGUCCUUGGGUGCGGUGGACUAAUCUAGAGUGGUAACAUGAGCUUAAAUGGCAAGAGAGAAGAAGGCAGGCCAGAAAUAAAAAUGAUCAGGGAAAACCGCUGCUAACCGUUGAGCUAAACAAGCACACAGAUGCAUGUAACACAAAGAACAAAAGACAGGAAAUGUUUUGUAAUCAGAAUAAUCCUCCACCCGCCUCCAUAGAGUUUCUCACCACACCGGAAAUAAGAGCGCAUCAUUGUUGACAUUUGGGUGGCUAUAUCCCAUAUUACUUCAGGCUUGAGAACACAAUGGUUCUUCGUUUGGAGAACGAGACUAUCCAGUCAAAGUGAGAGUGACCAUGACAUGGAGCUCUUAUAUAUGCAACUCCGGAGCACUUCUUUGUUAUCGAAAUAAUCAUAAUAUAGGAUCUUAAGGAUUUAGAAUAGACAACUUUGCUGGAAGACAUUAAACUUCUUGUUGAUUGUU